CAGCCGCCACGGUAAUACGGAGGGGGCUAGCGUUGUUCGGAAUUACUGGGCGUAAAGCGCACGUAGGCGGCUUGGUAAGUUAGAGGUGAAAACCCGGAGCUCAACUCCGGAAUUGCCUUUAAGACUGCCGAGCUAGUAGGUGAGAGAGGUAAGUGGAAUUCCGAGUGUAGAGGUGAAAUUCGUAGAUAUUCGGAGGAACACCAGUGGCGAAGGCGGCUUACUGGCUCAUUCUAGACGCUGAGGUGCGAAAGCGUGGGGAGCAAACAGGAUUAGAUACCCGAGUAGUCCCUGUCUCUUAUAC
rnacentral:rRNA from 1 species